rnacentral:lncRNA from 1 species
UCAGUGAAGACCUUCAGACUGUCGAUUUCGAGCUCCUUAGCUAUUUUUAAACCGGCUAGAAGAGCUUCAUAUUCGGCUUGAUUAUUGAAAGCUUUGAAGUUGAACUGAAGGGCGUAUUCAAUGACUACCCCUUUUGAGUUGGUGAGUAUGAGGCCAGCUCCACUGUCUUGAGCUUUUGAUGCCCCAUCGAUGUGCAGCACCCA